CACGGUUACCACUCUCUCUAUCACAAUCACACACACACACAGUUUCACGCUCAAUCUUGCAUGAUGCUAUGGAGGAAACAGAAAUGUGCAUCAUAUGUGUUCGACGACAUUCAGUAGAUCUAACUCGUAUCAGUAUGCUAUUCAGUCGAUCAGUGUGUUGUAAUUUACCGGACAAAUUAUUGUAAGUCGGUAUCACACGCCAAUUAGAGGCGCGUUCGACAUUCAGGAGUUCUUACUCGUAAUCGGUAUAAUAUUCAAUUGAUCAGAAACAAAUUUCUUAAAGCUGACUCUGCAGCUCACGAAGCAUUGCAGAUUUUCCAAACUGACAAACAUCGAAGCCACGUAGGUAUUGGUAGAGCAAAAGAAGGGA
rnacentral:lncRNA from 1 species